GGGCGUAGUUCAGUGGUAGAACGUCAGCUUCCCAAGCUGAAUGUCGUGGGUUCGAUCCCCAUCGCCC
rnacentral:tRNA from 1 species